rnacentral:rRNA from 1 species
CGCGUAGGCGGUUUGUUAAGUCGGAUGUGAAAGCCCCGGGCUCAACCUGGGAACUGCAUUCGAUACUGGCCGACUAGAGUACGAGAGAGGGAGGUAGAAUUCCACGUGUAGCGGUGAAAUGCGUAGAUAUGUGGAGGAAUACCGGUGGCGAAGGCGGCCUCCUGGCUCGAUACUGACGCUGAGGUGCGAAAGCGUGGGGAGCAAACA